UACAUGGGGUGCAAACGUUGCUCGGAAUUAUUGGGCGUAAAGCGCGCGUAGGCGGUUACUCAAGUCGGAUGUGAAAGCCCUCGGCUUAACUGAGGAAGUGCACCCGAAACUGAGUAGCUAGAGUACCAAAGAGGGUCGCGGAAUUCCCGGUGUAGAGGUGAAAUUCGUAGAUAUCUGGAGGAACACCGGUGGCGAAGGCGGCAUCCUGGACCGGCAUUGACGCUGAGGCGCGAAAGCCAGGGGAGCAAACGGG
rnacentral:rRNA from 1 species